CCCGCGUUAGAUUAGCUAGUUGGUGAGGUAAUGGCUCACCAAGGCGACGAUCUAUAGCCGACCUGAGAGGGUGAUCGGCCACACUGGAACUGAGACACGGUCCAGACUCCUACGGGAGGCAGCAGUGGGGAAUAUUGCACAAUGGGGGAAACCCUGAUGCAGCAACGCCGCGUGAGUGAUGAAGGCUUUCGAGUCGUAAAACUCUUUUCUUGAGGAAGAAUAUUGACGGUACUCAAGGAAUAAGCCCCGGCUAAUUACGUGCCAGCAGCCGCGGUAAUACGUAAGGGGCAAGCGUUAUCCGGAAUUACUGGGCGUAAAGCGUACGUAGGCGGCGUGUUAAGCAAGAUGUGAAAGCCCCGGGCUCAACCUGGGAAUUGCAUUUUGAACUGGCAUGCUAGAGUCCUGAAGAGGGUGGUAGAAUUUCCAGUGUAGCGGUGAAAUGCGUAGAUAUUGGAAGGAAUACCGGUGGCGAAGGCGGCCACCUGGUCAGAGACUGACGCUGAGGUACGAAAGCGUGGGGAGCAAACAGGAUUAGAUACCCUGGUAGUCCACGCCGUAAACGAUGUCAACUAGUUGUUCGUGUCAUUAAGACGUGAGUAACGCAGCUAACGCACUAAGUUGACCGCCUGGGGAGUACGGCCGCAAGGUUAAAACUCAAAUGAAUUGACGGGGGCCCGCACAAGCGGUGGAGCAUGUGGUUUAAUUCGAUGCAACGCGAAGAACCUUACCAUCCCUUGACAUCCAGUGAAUUUUCCAGAGAUGGAUUAGUGCCUUCGGGAACACUGAGACAGGUGCUGCAUGGCUGUCGUCAGCUCGUGUUGUGAGAUGUUGGGUUAAGUCCCGCAACGAGCGCAACCCUUAUCCUUAGUUGCCAGCGCAUAAUGGCGGGAACUCUGGGGAGACUGCCGGUGAUAAACCGGAGGAAGGUGGGGACGACGUCAAGUCAUCAUGGCCCUUACGGGAUGGGCUACACACGUGCUACAAUGGCGCACACAAAGGGCAGCAAGCCAGCGAUGGUAAGCGAAUCUCAUAAAGUGCGUCGUAGUCCGGAUUGGAGUCUGCAACUCGACUCCAUGAAGUCGGAAUCGCUAGUAAUCGUGGAUCAGAAUGCCACGGUGAAUACGUUCCCGGGCCUUGUACACACCGCCCGUCACACCAUGGGAGUGGGCUGCACCAGAAGUGGUUAGUUUAACCUUCGGGAGAACGAUC
rnacentral:rRNA from 1 species